rnacentral:snoRNA from 11 species
UGUUGUAGAUGUGAUGAGUAUGUCAUGUCUCUUCUCUGACUACCACUGGAGAAAGAGUUAACUUCUCUGAUCUCAGCA